GCAGUAGGAGCUCACCUAAUAAUCCACUAUCAACCAAAUGGAAGUUUACAAAGUGUUGGCAAUCUCACAACCCAAAAAACCCAAUACAACCAAUAGCUCUCACACACCAAAGAAACAAAUAAAGAAAGAAAUAUAGUGAUUAAUUUCUUCUCUAUACAAAACUCAAAGCUAUUACAACAACAACUACCUUGGUGGAUGAUUACUAACCAAAGAAAAGAUCACCUUUUUCUUCUCUUCAAAAUGGGGUUGCUGCCUUUUAUUUUUCUGCUUCUCUCUCGGUUUCUUUCAUUACCAAAUGCAACAAGUGGGAGCAUAACAACCAAUUCUCUCCCUUUCUUUAUUUGCUACUCUAUGUUUUUCUGCAGCCAUUCCCGUGACUUUUUACAUAUGCCAAAGAAAAAAACUUUAGACAAAAUGCCCUUUUUUUCUCCCCAAAACAAGGAAGAAACAUAAUCAUGUUGUCUUUUUUUUUCUUUUGAUUUGUUUAAUAGCCAAAAGUUUUUUUUGUUUUGUUCUCCACUUGGCCACUUAUUCAACAAUCUCCACCUUGGCCAAGUUCCGAAAAACGCAAUGAUAAGCCAACCAACACAAUUAACACACAACAUCACUCCCAAACACUAGCAAGAGAACAACUCAUGCCGAGCCAAAUGCUCCAAAACUCCUACUGUUCAACGCAUUCUUUAUAUAGGCAAAAUGUGAGCCAAGUUCAAGCAAUGAACAAGUUUGGCUACACCAACAACCUUAGUCAACAUAUCAGCGAGGUUGUCUUUAGUUGGAAUCUUCUGGAGAAUGAUUUCCCCUUCACCAACAAUUUCAUGAACAAAGUGAUAACGCACAUCUAUGUGCUUGGUCCUCGCAUGAUGAACCUGAUACUUAGCCAAAUAAAUGGCACUCUAACUAUCACAAUGUACCUCCACCUGCUUCUGAUGAACCCCCAAAUCUCUAAUCAGCCCAUGUAUCCAAAUGGCCUCCUUUAUAGCUUCAGCAACUGUCAUAUAUUCAGCCUCUGUAGUAGAUAAGGCAACAUACGACUGCAAAAUGGACCUCCAACAAACUGGCCCUUUAGCCAUAGUAAACAUAUAGCCUGUAGUAGACUUCCUUCCAUCUAGAUCACUUGCAUAAUCUGAAUCAACAUAACCAACUGCAAAAUGGCCAAUGCUAGAGUCAUCUCUCUCAAAGCAUAAACCAACAUCUCGAGUACCAUGGAGAUACCUCAAUAUCCACUUAGCUACUUGCCAAUGCUCUUUACCUGGAUUAUGCAUAUAUCGAUUCACCAUGCCAACUGCAUGAGCAAUAUCCGGUCUAGAGCAUACCAUUGCAUACAUCAAACUACCAACCAAAUUUGCAUAUGGUAUAUUUUUCAUUUGCAGUUUCUUUUUAUCAGUUUUAGAACAUUGUAGAGAACUCAAUUUAAGAGGAGCCAAAGGGGUACUAACCGGUUUGGUUGAAUCAUGAACUCCAAACUUCCGAAUCAACUUCUCAAGGUAUUGUCUUUGAUUCAAAUUGACCAAACCCUUCUCUCUAUCUCUAGUGAUCUCCAUGCCAAGGAUCUUCUUCGCUUCACCAAGAUCCUUCAUCUCAAACGCAUUCUUCAUUUGCUUCUUUAAUUUUUCAAUCUCUUCAACAUUCUUUGAUGCAAUCAACAUAUCAUCAACAUAUAUCAACAAAUAAAUGAAAGACCCAUCUUGCAACUUUUUGAAGUACACACUAUGAUCAUAUUGACUUCUAGAAUAAUUUUGGCCUUUCAUAAAUUUAUCAAACCUCAAAUACCAUUGCCUUGGAGAUUGCUUCAAGCCAUAAAGUGAUUUCUUCAAUUUGCAAAACAAAUUCUCCUUCCCUUUCACUAUAUACCCAUCCGGUUGACACAUAUAAAUCUCUUCAUUCAAAUCACCAUGUAGGAAAGCCGUCUUCACAUCAAGUUGCUCAAGUUCAAGAUCAUACUGUGCAAUAAGAGCUAACAUAAUGCGAAUUGAGGAGUGUUUCACAACCGGAGAAAAGAUUUCAUUGUAGUCAAUGCCCUCAUUUUGUACAUACCCUUUAGCAACUAAUCUUGCUUUGAAUCUCACAUUGCUUUUCUCAUCAGCAUCUUCCUUCUUGGCAUACACCCAUUUGCAACCGAUAGCUUUCUUGCCCUUAGGCAAUUUAGCUAACUCCCAAGUCUUGUUCUUCAAGAGAGAAUUCAUCUCAUCACCCAUGCCAUUGCACCACCUCUCCUUUUCUUCACUCUCAAUAGCUUCCUCAAAAUUGGAUGGAAUCUCAUCAGUGAUAAUAGGAAGAGCAAAAGAAACAGUCACUAUACCGAGCUGGCUUGGUAAUUUGUCUCUUUCCUCUGUUCUUGGCAAUAGACUCUUGAGGUGAAACUUCCUCUUCAACUUGAAUAGAAUCUUCAAGUUCAACUUGUUCAACAUCCUCAUGGUCUCCAACUUCUUCACUUGUAGUGGCUUCAACAUCAGCGAAAAUAGGAUUUGAAGUACCAAAGGCAACUUUCUCAAGCUCCACCUAUUGGACAUCUUUCACAUUCUUCUCAGAGACUUUGUACAUACUUUCUUCAUCAAAUGUCACAUCUCUGCUGAUUACAAGUUUUUUCAUCUCUGGGCACCACAACCUGUAACCUUUGACACCACUACUAAAACCAAGAAAGAUAGCCUUUUUGGCUCUAGGAUCAAGUUUAUUUUCAGUCACAUGAAAAUAAGCAGGUGAACCAAAAAUACGGAUAUAGUCAUAAUCAGAAGAAGGUUUUCUAGUCCAUACCUCCAUUGGUGUCUUACCCUGAACAGCAGCUGAGGGUAACCGGUUGAUGAUGUGACAUGCAUAAUUAACUGCCUCUGCCCAAAAUGACUUGCUUAAACCCGACUGAGACAACAUACAUCUAACCUUCUCAAGCAAGGUUCGAUUCAAUCUUUCUGCAACUCCAUUUUGUUGUGGAGUUCCCUUAACACUGAAAUGUCUUACAAUCCUUUCUUCUUUGCAAACUUUCAAGAAAUGGUCGGAUGUGUAUUCACCACCAUUAUCCGAUCUCAAAACCUUAAUCUUUCUCCCAGUCUGGUUCUCAACCAUUUUCUUCCAACCCAAGAAAAUGCUUAAUACCUCACUCUUGUGCUUCAUAGUGUAGACCUAAGACAUUCUUGAAUAAUCAUUAACAAAGGUCACGAACCAAUGUCUACCACUCAAAGAGGGAGUCUUGGUAGGACCCCAAACAUCCAAAUGCACAUAAUCAAGAAUGCCAUUCAUCUGAUGUACAACAGUACCAAACUUCACUCUAGUUUGUUUCCCCAAGACACAAUGCUCGCAGAAAUCAAGCUUACAAGUCGUGGCACAUUUUAGAAGACCUUGUUUCACAAGCCCUUGUAGAGCUUUCUCACCGGCAUGACCUAAUCUCAUAUGCCAUAGUCUAGUAGUAUCAGAAUCGGAUGUGCCCAUAUUUUCUGAGACUACAGAUGCUUCACCUAUCACAGUGCUUCCUUGCAAUAAAUACAAAUGGCCACAUCGAGGAGCUUUCAUCACAACAAGUGCACCAUAAGUAACUUUCAAUGUCUAUCCAUCUGAAUGAAACCUGAAGCCCUUGGAUUCCAAAGUACCCAAAGAAAUAAGAUUUUUCUUCAAAUUCGGUACAUAUCAAACACCGGUCAACUCUUUAACCAUGCCAUCAUGCAACUUCAAACGAACUGUACCAAUCCCUUUUGUUGUGCAAGGAUUGUCAUCUCCCAUGAACACAACGCCACCAUCAAACUCUUUCAAGCUUGAAAACCAAUCCUUGUGAGGAGUCAUAUGAUAAGUAAAACCCGUAUCCAACACCCACUUAGUAGCACAAUCAAAUGAUGAGCAAGUGGUUAAAGCAAAAUCAGAAAAAUCUGUUUCAACCUCAGCAACAUUAGCUUCAGAACUUUCUUUGCCCUUGGUCUUCAAUCUAGGACAAUCUUUCUUCCAAUGGCCCUUAUUACGACAAAAGGCAUUCAUCCAUUUCCAAAGGUUUUCUACCUUUAGAGUUUCCUCUAGGUCGAGACUGUGAUUUUUUCCUACUAGAAGAUGAUCUUCUCUCCGAUGAUCUACCUCUAACAAAUAAAGCUUCAGAGGUACUAACAUGGUUCUUAUCUCUAUGCCUUAUUUCAUAAUUCAUCAAGGCAUUUGACACAUCUUCAAAUUUUACAGUUUCUUUACCAUGCAUAAUAGUGGUAACAAAAUGCUCAUAAGAGUCCGGUAAGGAAUUCAACAAUAUUAAAGCCUUAUCUUCAUCCUUAGUAUCCUCAUCUAAAUUUAACAAGUCGGCAAUCAACUUAUUAAAAGCAUCAAGUGUCUAAUCAUUUUUGUACCUUCUUUGUAUUGGAAGCGGUAGAGCUUUUUCUUCAAGUGUAGCCGAUUCUCUGCACUCUUCGUCAUAUACUUGUCUUCCAAUUUUUGCUACAACACACUUGCUAAUGUCUCCCGCAUCACAAAAUACUUCUGAGUUUUUGCAAGGCAUAACCGAAUUGAAGAGCAAGCCCACAAAUUUAAUUUCUCCUAUUCCGGCUUCGACAUAACUUCCGGCUUCUCUCCCAAAGCGGCAAGUAGAUCUUGUUGAGCCAGCACAUCUUUGACCUCACAUUGCUACAUCCCGAAGUUGUUUGUGCCAUCAAACUUUACCACUUUAAACUUUGCAUUUUGCAUCGUAGUUCUUGCAAACCCGGAGUUGCUUCCAAAAGGAUUCUCAUCUUGCCCGUCUAACAUCUUUGGCAACUAGACAGUACCCAAGAGCAACCAGUGCUCUGAUACCAAUUGUUGUGCUAGGAUAGCACCAAACCUUAUGGAACCAACUCAAGCUAACCCACAGGAAAUAUAUCAAAUGGAAUGCAAGAACAAAAUAUAAAAGACACCAAGAUUUUAACGAGGUUCCUCAACAGUCAGUGUAACUGGAGUACGUCCUCAGUCAGUGUAACUGGAGUACGUCCUCGGAGCAGUAGGAGCUCACCCAAUAAUCCACUAUCAACCAAAUGGAAGUUUACAAAGUGUUGGCAAUCUCACAACCCAAAAAACCCAAUACAACCAAUAGCUCUCACACACCAAAGAAACAAAUAGAGAAAGAAAUAUAGUGAUUAAUUUCUUCUCUAUACAAAGCUCAAAGCUAUUACAACAACAACUACCUUGGUGGAUGAUUACUGACCAAAGAAAAGAUCACCUUCUUCUUCUCUUCAAAAUGGGGCUGCUGCCUUUUAUUUUUCUGCUUCUCUCUCGGUUUCUUUCAUUACCAAAUGCAACAAGUGGGAGCACAACAACCAAUUCUCUCCUUUUCUUUAUUUCCUGCUCUAUGUUUUUCUGCAGCC
rnacentral:lncRNA from 1 species